rnacentral:rRNA from 1 species
GGCAGUCGACUAGAGUUUGAUCCUGGCUCAGGAUGAACGCUAGCGGCAGGCCUAAUACAUGCAAGUCGGACGGUAUGGAUUCUUUCGGGGAUCCUGAGAGUGGCGCACGGGUGCGUAACGCGUAUGCAACCUACCUUAUACUGGGGGAUAGCCCGGGGAAACCCGGAUUAAUACCCCAUGGUAUUGAAUGAUGGCAUCAUUUUUCAAUUAAAGAUUUAUCGGUAUGAGAUGGGCAUGCGUAGGAUUAGCUAGUUGGCGGGGUAACGGCCCACCAAGGCGACGAUCCUUAGGGGUUCUGAGAGGAAGGUCCCCCACACUGGCACUGAGAUACGGGCCAGACUCCUACGGGAGGCAGCAGUAGGGAAUAUUGGGCAAUGGCCGGAAGGCUGACCCAGCCAUGCCGCGUGCAGGAAGAAGGCGUUAUGCGUUGUAAACUGCUUUUAUACGGGAAGAAAAAGCAACUGCGGUUGAAAUUGCCGGUACCGUAUGAAUAAGCACCGGCUAACUCC